rnacentral:ncRNA from 1 species
AGGUACCGCUCUCUUCGCCGUCUCACGGCUGCGCCCGGUACAGGCGCUGUGUCUUGAGA